CGAGGUGUAGCGCAGUCUGCUCAGCGCAUCUGUUUUGGGUACAGAGGGCCAUAGGUUCGAAUCCUGUCACCUUGA
rnacentral:tRNA from 1 species